rnacentral:snRNA from 1 species
GUGCUCGCUUCUGCAGCACAUAUACUAAAAUUGGAAUGAUACAGAGAAGAUUAGCAUGGCCCCUGCACAAGGAUGACACACAAAUUCAUGAAGCAUGCCAUAUUUUU